CCUACGGGCGGCAGCAGUGAGGAAUAUUGGUCAAUGGGCGCGAGCCUGAACCAGCCAAGUAGCGUGAAGGAUGACUGCCCUACGGGUUGUAAACUUCUUUUAUAAAGGAAUAAAGUGAGGCACGGGUGCCUUUUUGUAUGUACUUUAUGAAUAAGGAUCGGCUAACUCCGUGCCAGCAGCCGCGGUAAUACGGAGGAUGCGAGCGUUAUCCGGAUUUAUUGGGUUUAAAGGGAGCGUAGAUGGGUUGUUAAGUUAGUUGUGAAAGUUUGGGGCUCAACCGUAAAAAUGCAAUUGAUACUGGCAGGCUUGAGUACAGUUGAGGUAGGCGGAAUACGUGGUGUAGCGGUGAAAUGCUUAGAUAUCACGAAGUACUCCGAUUGCGAAGGCAGCUUACUAAACUGCCACUGACAUUGAUGCUCGAAAGUGUGGGUAUCAAACAGGAUUAGAUACCCGUGUAGUC
rnacentral:rRNA from 1 species